UAAGGCCGAUGGCGACCGGCGCACGGGUGAGUAACACGUAUCCAACCUGCCGUCUACUCUUGGACAGCCUUCUGAAAGGAAGAUUAAUACAAGAUGGCAUCAUGAGUCCGCAUGUUCACAUGAUUAAAGGUAUUCCGGUAGACGAUGGGGAUGCGUUCCAUUAGAUAGUAGGCGGGGUAACGGCCCACCUAGUCUUCGAUGGAUAGGGGUUCUGAGAGGAAGGUCCCCCACAUUGGAACUGAGACACGGUCCAAACUCCUACGGGAGGCAGCAGUGAGGAAUAUUGGUCAAUGGGCGAGAGCCUGAACCAGCCAAGUAGCGUGAAGGAUGACUGCCCUAUGGGUUGUAAACUUCUUUUAUAAAGGAAUAAAGUCGGGUAUGGAUACCCGUUUGCAUGUACUUUAUGAAUAAGGAUCGGCUAACUCCGUGCCAGCAGCCGCGGUAAUACGGAGGAUCCGAGCGUUAUCCGGAUUUAUUGGGUUUAAAGGGAGCGUAGAUGGAUGUUUAAGUCAGUUGUGAAAGUUUGCGGCUCAACCGUAAAAUUGCAGUUGAUACUGGAUAUCUUGAGUGCAGUUGAGGCAGGCGGAAUUCGUGGUGUAGCGGUGAAAUGCUUAGAUAUCACGAAGAACUCCGAUUGCGAAGGCAGCCUGCUAAGCUGCAACUGACAUUGAGGCUCGAAAGUGUGGGUAUCAAACAGGAUUAGAUACCCUGGUAGUCCACACGGUAAACGAUGAAUACUCGCUGUUUGCGAUAUACUGCAAGCG
rnacentral:rRNA from 1 species